AUGCGAAGGUCCCAGCAGGGGAGCGAAUUACUCUUACAGUGAGGCUCCUCUAACUAUUUAUUUCAAAGCCCUUCGCAGAUUUAAUAGCCGAAUCGUAGGAUGCCCAGAAUGUUUUGAUUUUUGGUGCACCUGGAACCCUCGGCUAAAUGUCA